GCAGUCGAACGGUACGGUCUUCGGAUGCUGACGAGUGGCGAACGGGUGAGUAAUACAUCGGAACGUGCCCGAUCGUGGGGGAUAACGCAGCGAAAGCUGUGCUAAUACCGCAUACGAUCUACGGAUGAAAGCGGGGGAUCGCAAGACCCCGCGCGGACGGAGCGGCCGAUGGCAGAUUAGGUAGUUGGUGGGAUAAAAGCUUACCAAGCCGACGAUCUGUAGCUGGUCUGAGAGGACGACCAGCCACACUGGGACUGAGACACGGCCCAGACUCCUACGGGAGGCAGCAGUGGGGAAUUUUGGACAAUGGGCGCAAGCCUGAUCCAGCCAUGCCGCGUGCAGGAUGAAGGCCUUCGGGUUGUAAACUGCUUUUGUACGGAACGAAAGAGCUCUCUCUAAUACAGGGGGUGAAUGACGGUACCGUAAGAAUAAGCACCGGCUAACUACGUGCCAGCAGCCGCGGUAAUACGUAGGGUGCAAGCGUUAAUCGGAAUUACUGGGCGUAAAGCGUGCGCAGGCGGUUAUGUAAGACAGAGGUGAAAUCCCCGGGCUCAACCUGGGAACUGCCUUUGUGACUGCAUAGCUGGAGUGCGGCAGAGGGGGAUGGAAUUCCGCGUGUAGCAGUGAAAUGCGUAGAUAUGCGGAGGAACACCGAUGGCGAAGGAAUCCCCUGGGCCUGACUGACGCUCAUGCACGAAGCGUGGGAGCAACAGGAUAGAUACCCUG
rnacentral:rRNA from 1 species